GCAUCAGUGUUUUAGGGGUAGAAUGCACGACUUCCACAUGGGUGGCCCGGGUUCGGUUCCCGGCCAAUGCA